rnacentral:lncRNA from 12 species
UGAGUGUAGAACACUCUGGAGAGUCUGGUCUGGACUCUGAACUAUAUACUGGUUUCUCUUAACCAUAUACUGCGGAAGUUCUUGCUCUCUGCGUCAUGCACUGCUGCUUAGACAAGCUGAGAACAUUCAUCUAUGUAAGGAAUGUUCUGCUUUGAUCUGACCUUGAGAGCUGGACUUAGCCCAUGUAAAUUCAGAAUAGCCCACUCACCCAGCCUAUGUUCCUUCUGUAACUUCUGGUUCUUGACUCACAUUACUGUCCCGUCAGACAAGUUCCAGUGUUCCUGAAGUGAGUUCUAUGUUUUUGAGGACUUGCUUGUGACCUUACCCAGUGACUUCCCCAGAAGGGGCUCUUGUAAAACCUCAGGGGAGCUGAAGCUAGACCAUGAUCUAGAGACUCAGCUCAGCCUGUUUUCUUGUGUAGCUUUGUGCUGCUAUCUCAUUUUCCUAAAUGAACCCUAUUGUUUGGAUCUUCGUGCAUAAGUGGAGAUCCACAAGUAAAUGCUAGGGAAUGAUUAACACAGAAGGCGGGUUGGUAGUUACUUCCAGGUGGGAGUGAAGGGGGAAAGGAGAGGCAUGUGACUGAGAAAGGACACAGGUGAUACCCAAGGAACCAGUAAUUUUCUUGUUAUUAACUGAAUAGUAGUACAAGAGUACUUUAAACUUUUCUGUAUGUAUGAUCCAUUUCAUAAUUUUGAAAAAUGAACAGUUGAGCCAAGAAAUUGUCUGAGUUCCUUCUAACAAUGAUAAGCUUUAAUUUUGUCAGGCUGCAAGUGGAAUUGGACAUGAAGAAUGAACCAGAUGAACCAAUUCUCUGCAGUUUAUGAGAUCACUCUGGUGGAGAAAACACUGAUUUGGUAUGAAUGUUUGCAUGUCCCAGAGACAAGGAUGGUGAACUGUUGAUAGCAGGGGUCAGAGAAAACUCUGUGAGGGCAAUGCCAAUUUUGCCUCCUCAGUGGGGAAAUAUCUCCAAAUUCAUGUUAAGCAACAUCUAUGAUAAAUCCUCUCCAACCCACACAUGA